rnacentral:tRNA from 1 species
AGAACUAUAGGUUAAAAUAAACCCUUGACCUUCAAAGUCGAUAAUAGUACCCUCAUGCUUAGUUCUG